GGUCUCUUCGGAGGCCAGCGGCGGACGGGUGAGGAACACGUGGGUAAUCUGCCUUUCAGGCCGGAAUAACGCCCGGAAACGGGCGCUAAUGCCGGAUACGCCCGCGAGGAGGCAUCUUCUUGCGGGGGAAGGCCCAAUUGGGCCGCUGAGAGAGGAGCCCGCGGCGCAUUAGCUGGUUGGCGGGGUAACGGCCCACCAAGGCGACGAUGCGUAGCCGACCUGAGAGGGUGACCGGCCACACUGGGACUGAGACACGGCCCAGACUCCUACGGGAGGCAGCAGUAGGGAAUCUUCCGCAAUGGGCGCAAGCCUGACGGAGCAACGCCGCGUGAGCGAAGAAGGCCUUCGGGUUGUAAAGCUCUGUUGCUCGGGGAGAGCGGCAUGGGGGAUGGAAAGCCCCAUGCGAGACGGUACCGAGUGAGGAAGCCCCGGCUAACUACGUGCCAGCAGCCGCGGUAAAACGUAGGGGGCGAGCGUUGUCCGGAAUCACUGGGCGUAAAGGGUGCGUAGGCGGUCGAGCAAGUCUGGAGUGAAAGUCCAUGGCUCAACCAUGGGAUGGCUUUGGAAACUGCUUGACUUGAGUGCUGGAGAGGCAAGGGGAAUUCCACGUGUAGCGGUGAAAUGCGUAGAGAUGUGGAGGAAUACCAGUGGCGAAGGCGCCUUGCUGGACAGUGACUGACGCUGAGGCACGAAAGCG
rnacentral:rRNA from 1 species